rnacentral:ncRNA from 1 species
UUCCAUCUUCGGGGCAGGGUGAAAUUCCCGACCGACGGUAAAAAGCGUAUGCUUUAAGUCCGUGACCCACAAUAAUUAUUGUGGUUGAUCUGGUGCAAGUCCAGAACCGACAGUUACAGUCUGGAUGGGAGAAGAUGUCG